UUUCUGGGUUUGUGUUCUUGGUUAUGAAUUUUGAGUAGUGAUUAGGGUUCUUGAGGAUGGGUUAGAGUAGCUUAGAAUCUUUAAUCUGAUAGGUGGUUGAGUUUGAUUGGUAGAUCCCUUCUGGAUUAGUUGUUCUUAAUGCUGAUUGCUUUCUGAUCAACUGGAAUCUGAGCCCAGACAUUUCCGCACCCAAAAGGUGUUCGAUGAAAUGUCUGAACCACUAAUUCCAGAGAUUCGUGGCUCUGUACCAAGGUAUUGGUUACAGGGAGCGUUUUGGCUUAGACUUGUUGUUUCGUAAUGCCUGUUAAGUUAGCUCUCGUCAAUGGUGAUUGAGUCUGGGACUAGCUUUGCUUGAGGAUCUCUGUUGCGGUAGCACUUUGAUUUGGUUAUUGAACUUGUUGUCUAGGGAUAGUUUGUUGAGCAUGUUAACCACCUGUUAGAUUAAGGAGACUUCACUACUCG
rnacentral:lncRNA from 1 species